ensembl:antisense
CAGUUGGGGACAGCAGCAACAGAGACAGCGACAGCAACGGCAGCAGCGGAGGCGGCGGUGAUGGCCGAGUCCUAGGCGCCCGCCCACGGAUCAUAGCCCCAGGAAAACUUAUGGAUUCCAUCCAAACUGAUAAAAAUCAGAUUUGAUAGAGGAAGACCCUCUGAAGAUCUUGACUGCAGAAAGGAAGAAAGAAAUCUAGAAGACCAAAUAGGAUAGAGUGGAAGGCCAGAAGAGCAGCCCUGACCGGAUUCACUUUCGAGGAUGCUGGGAUGCUGAAACCUGCUUUUCCAGCUCCCUGAUCAAUAUUGCCUCAAACUGAUGCUGUUCCAGAGACUUGCUUCCAGAACAGCUUCAGAAAGGGCUGCUAAUCCCAGAUGACCUUGUUUCAUCCAGUCUUUCAGAUUGUUCUAAUCAGGACUUCAGUUAAGCCCUAAACUUUCUCCAUUCAAGACUUCAGUUAAUCAACCUAUAGAGACUGGACAACAAUAAUGCCNGCUAGCUUUCUUUUGACUUAACCAUUUUUCCAGUUUUCUCUUGGGCCCCCAAACUGGAACUCUUUUCCCCAAUUCAGCAAGAAGAAACUAUAAGAAGACUGUCAUCCCAAUCACUUAAGUUGGGGUGGAUAGUUUUGAUCAUUUUAUGAAUUAUAGAUAUAUUGUCAUUUUAAAGGAUGAUUACAAAUAAUUAUGGUCUUAGACAGGGAGGAAAUUAUAUAGGGAGCUGAGACUCAGAGAUUGCUAUAUCUCUUUUCCUUUUCUCUAUCCUUCUUUCUUUCUUAAAUAAAGAUAAAGAGGUUGAGAAAAAAGGGNNNNNNNNNNNNNNNNNNNNNNNNNNNNNNNNNNNNNNNNNNNNNNNNNNNNNNNNNNNNNNNNNNNNNNNNNAAUAACGAAUGUCUAGUUGGUCUUCAAAACCUCAUAGAUACACAGAAUAUGGCAUUUAAAAUUAUUUCAUUAUUAAAAGAUCUUUUGACUAUGAGACAGGUCUGUUCCUGACAGUACCCCCAUUCCACUUCAGUGAAGGUGAUGAGCAUCAACAAUAACCUCCAUAUGGAGUUGCUCCAAUUGUAGCAAGUUAGCCACUGGGCAAAGAAAAUACCUAUGCUUCAACUACAGACAAAUCUGUUCAGAAAGGACAAAUGGAUGAAGAGCCAACCAAGCUCUGCCUAGACAGGAAUCUAAAUUAUCUUAUGGAGCCUGGUAGCAUUAUUGUGAAACUUCCCUUCUACACAGCCCAGACAGAACAGAGUGUUGAAAGUCUCUGAAUGAAAGCCUCUAGAAUCCAGUCUAAAAGAGAGUUCUUCUCAUAGUACCUCAGUGCACAUUUCUUAUCCGUAAUUCCUGGGUUUUCUAUUGCUCUGAAGGCACAGGAUGAUCACCCGUAUGAUACUACCCUAGUCUGAGAACUGGUCCACUCCUGCAUAGACAACAUGCACCAAAAUUCAGAUAGUUGAAGACACGGGGAAGAUGAAUGACUUUCAGACAAUCUAAUGACUUGGGGUCUGGAUGAAACUGGGAAUUUUGUUUGAAAGUAAAGACAAGCUAUGGGAAAGCACAUCUAUUAUUCUUCAUGAAUAUUUAACCUCAACUCGAAGUUUCCCUUCGCCAUCUUGAACUGCUUCACUGGCUAUUCCCUAAAGUUCAUCUUUCAAAGGCAACCAUCACUUAGAUUCUAACUGUUGCCCACCACUUGUGCUGAUCUGUUCCUGGGGGAGGCAGACACUGUUGUCCAAAUAGAAUGCGCUCCUGACCUUGUCCUAAAAAGGCCCACACUAACAGCUGGGCUGGAAGCAUUGCUGACAGUAGCUAAAAUGCUUAUCCCUCACAGAAAAAUGGGAAGUAUUAUCCAAAUAUAACUGAGCAAAUUUCUCUAAAAUAUUGAUGAAAAUACAGUCAUGUUUCAACUUCUAAGAAAAAAAUAGAAGAAAUGAACCCUGGCUUACUGAAACACACAGUUUCAAUGUACUAAUCAGAAGGAUUUUGGUUAUUGUUUUCAAUUCAAAAUACUUGAAUACUUUAACAUUGUUUAAUAGGCUUUUCUUUCAGAGAUUAAUUGGCUGAAAAAAUGUCGUUUCAAAACUUAGUUGCAGUUUAUAAUAACUAAAUUUCAGAAGAACAAAUGACUUUUUCUUGAAAACGANNNNNNNNNNNNNNNNNNNNNNNNN